GAUGUAGGUCAGCAGAGCGUAGAAGAGGUUGAGAGAAUGAAAAUGUGGAAUGACGUACAAUUGAGGAGCAUGGGAGCAUAAAUCGAGAGCGAGGGCCAAGAUACCCGGGAUUCCGUGACCAGGCGUGCAGGGAUUGAUCGUUCGGAGCAGCUCUGAAGAUAUGGGUAGUAAGAGGCAUCGGAAGAAGAAAAUGAAACUAAUCGGCGGUGAAGGAGAAGAAGAAGACAGAAUCAGCAGAUUACCCGACUCCAUUCUUCACCGAAUCCUCUCCUCCAUCGACACAACAUCCUUCAUUCCGAUCUUCGUCCAAAUCCUCUCCUCCAUCGACACCAGAUCCGUCAUUCAGACCUCCGUUCUGUCAAAGAGAUGGAGGUACCUUUGGACUUCGGUACCGAAUAUACACUUGGAUUACGACGAAUUUCCCGGUCCAAAUAAGUGCGAGACCAAAGUGCGUCGAUUCACGCAUUUUGUGAACCAGGUCUUGUCUCUCAGAGACGCCUCAAAUGUGCUCCGAUUCACCUUACAUUCUUCUUCUAAUGUAUUGGAUCCAGUCCUCGUAAAAAACUGCAUAUGCUAUGCAUUUCGGCACAAUGUUCGAGAAUUGUUUCUGUGGCCCGAGUGCGAUGUGGAUCUGCAGCACAUGGAAUUUCCCGGCUGCAUAUCCGAAGCUCUUGGAAUUUCCUCUAGUUCUCUUAUAAGCCUUAGGUUGGCGUGUCAUGACUUUAGUAUGCCACCCGACAAACCGUUGCAGUUGCCUGCGUUAAAGACUCUGCAUCUCGCCGGUUGCUGGUAUGAUUAUGCCGGAUUCAUAACUGAGACUGUUGGCAUCUGUACGAACUUGGAAACACUGAUUUUGGAUGACUUAGAGCUGAAAAGUUUGAAUAUCACUGCUCCUAAUCUUAGAAAACUGGAAUUAGAAUAUGAAGAUGACAGCUGCAGCGAAUCGAUGAUUGCGGUAUCAGCACCCCGACUGACAUCGUUCAAGUUGCAAGGAAACGUUUUGCCUGUCUUUUCUGCCGCGAGUCUCCCUUGUCUUCAGAAUGUACACGUGAACCUGUAUAGAGGGAGGAUUUAUGAGGAAUUAGAUGCAGAUAUCUUGCAGAGGAUACCCCUCAAUGUGAUGAAGAUGCUUGAACAGCUUGGAGAAGCAAAUUCUCUUACAUUGUCAGUGGAAACCCUUGAGGGCCAGGUGGUGCUCCGGUUCGCAUCUGGCUAGGCCGCUAGGGUUCCUCCACCGAUUGCUUCCUGCAUGAUGAACACCCACCGUUAGUGCCUAACCAGUUGGAGUCGACUGGGAAGACACUCCAAGGGUUAAGUAAGUAUUUGGAGGAAGGAGAUAGGAAUGGAAACUCUAGGGUUAGAAUUAACGGCGCAUCUCUUAGGGUUUAUCCUUGUACCUUAUAUAGAACCUCCAAACUUGCCCUCCAAGUAAGUACGUGUUUGGCACACGAGGUAACUGCUCCGGAUGAUGUCAGUUAUGACAUAUGGACCAAGCAGUUAUGUCCACGUGCACAAACUACCUUUUCGUAAAUUAUGUGGGUCGUAACGGUCAGACCCGGGUUGGUCAUACCCUAUGUGUACUAUUCGGGUAUGGAUCCCUGAUUGUGAAUGGAACAUGAUCCAACCGAGCGAUGUACCUUAGCCUUGGACUGAGAGUCCUCGGCCACAGACGGAUACAUCAAGAAGUGCUGAGCACCCAAAGACCUGCGUCCACCGAGCCUUCAAGGACACGCGGCUCGGGCCACGAGUCCCUUGGAUAUUCGGCCCUUUACAAUACCGUUUCUGAGGUUGAUGUUACAUGAUAUACUUUAGUGUCCACGUCAUUAGGUUGAGCUAGCAUAACUUCUGGCCUUUGAGGAUAAUGGUACUUUUUUUGUGUGAUAAUAAUAUUGGUGGUUGACUCAUACUUCGUGAUUCUGAUGGCCUUGUUAUAUGAGGAGAGUUGGGUGUUGAGAUUUUAAUGAUGAUCCUAUAUGGUUUUUGAAGAUCUAGAGGGUCUUGGAGAUCAUGUUAUUUUGCGGGAAAAUCAACAUUGAUUCUUGUUAGUCCCCCUUUUUUAAAAUUCUCUCUUGUUAGAAUGAACAAACAAAACGCACGAUGCACGUCACCAAUUUUGGAUGGUGCUUGAGAGUUCAGACCUUCACAACUAGUCAAGUCAAGAAAGAAGGUAGUAGAAUACACAUGUGGUGCCUGUAUUUUCACCCAUGUUCCACCUAUACAAAGAAGAAUGCAAACUUCAUGAUUUUUUGUCUUCAAGCAUCACAAUCCCUUGAUCUUGAAAAACCAUAAUCACCAUCGUCAUUCUCAUCAAAAUUUGAUUCCUUCAUAACUUGGUCCCUCCUAGGCAUGAUAAAAGCUCCACUUGGUAUCCAUGUUCCUGUAUCCGAAUUGCACCAUGAGCAGAAGUCACAACCUUAAGUCAAUUGUGUAUGAACAUCCAUUUGCCAUGUGGUCCGCAAUGUCAUCUCCAUCUGCAAUAGUUAGCAAACACGUGUAAUUGUCAUGUCAAGACGAGCAGAGUACGCCUAGAUUAUGACCUUAGAAAGCUACACUAUGCACAAUUUAUGGAACUAUCUUGCUUGAUUCCUCGAUUCAUCUAAAUGUUACUAUGACUUUGUCUCAUGAACUUGGGUUGCAAUAAAAAAAGUAACUUGUUUUCCUAAAUUUGGUUACAUAGUACUAUCGAUUUUCAAAUGUGGCAUAACCUUAGGAGUAGUUGGCCUACCUUCGGGAGUUAGGAUUGUAAAUGCUAUUCAAGGGAAUGUUAGCCUUGGGAAAUUUCUAAAUCAAAUGAUGAGUCUAUCCCUAGGUCUGACAUGUUCGUAAUAGUCCUAUACCACCCCACUAUAAUGUCCAACAGCAUACUUAGUAAUAUCUACGUGCAACAUUAGAAACUUUUUAUUUCCUCUGAUCUAUUUUCACAGCAGCUUAGUUUUUUUGUUAUUGAGUGCCACUUUUUUAUAACAGGAAUCCAUUAUUUGUCUUUUAGUGUCCAAAAUACACACAGCUUGAUUUCUAGAUCACAGGCAUUGGAGUGUGGUUAUCAAAAUAUGGAGUACUGAAAUCAUUUCCCUAUUUUUUUAGUCCAUGAUCAAGAUUAAUUGUCUGUCUUGUUUGUGAUUGAUAAGGUUCUUGCAAUGGAUCCUGAUUCUCUUAACAAUCGUCCUUCUCCAUUUUGUAAGUUGAAGCACCUAAAGUUCUUACCACCUUAUUGUCCUACCUUAAAUCUUCCGUUAAAUGCAAUUAACUACUUGACUAAAGGUUCCUCUCGUGGCAAGUUGGUUGUGGAGUUCCCUCAGGUAAUAAUCCUUCUCCUUUUCUAUUCCUUGCUUAUCAUCUAAGAGCUACUAAUGAUCUAAUCUUUGCUCCCUUUUUCAGUGCUUAGGUAAAUGGAGAUAGUGACGUGAAAAAUGGUAAGUGUGAAGCACUCUUACCAUAUUUGUCAUUUUUGUUGAUCUUGAUCUUGUGCUUGUGGUUUUUGUUUCUUAAUUUUCAAUCUAUCUUCUUUUGUAUUACUUGUAUUUUGUAUGUACGUAUUUCAAGUAAAUUUGAAAACUACAAGACUGGUGUGCCUAACAAAGUAGGUUUUGUUGAGAGGACAACCGCAUUAGAUUCCAUUCUUGCCAUUGAUUAUUCGAAAGGAAGGCUGUUCUUUUGCCUCAUUGGUGUGCAUUUGUAACAGGGGAUGAGACAGUGGAGCAUGUCUUGCUUGAUUGUGAAGCGGACAUGAAUUAUCUUUUUCUAUUUUUCUGUUUUGUGCAAAAGUCGGUUUUUGCCGGCUUAAAUAAUACAGUUGAUUUUGUUGGUCUUCUGCUUGCCAUGCACGCAUAUCCAAAAGGCUUGGAGAAUGUCACACCUUUGGUCUACGUGGUGCUUGUAGAGAAAAAGGAAUAAAAGGACUCGAGGUCGCUGCAUCAUAUUCAGUAUAUGAGCUAGCCAGCUAAGUUGACUCAGCUCCAGUAGAUAGAUAUAUAAAGAUGGGUACACAGACUUAAUGCGUGGUUUCUGAGAUUACUGACGAUCUUUGUGUUUCAUCACUCUCCAAGUUCUUGAUGUAAUUGGUGACAACCUUUUGGCGGCUUUGAUGAAAUGCUCCAGAACAUCAACAGAGGCGCCUAUCAGAAAGGUAAACCAACAAAACAUAGAGAGAACAUUUCUUUCCCCUAACUGACCUUAAAGCAAGCCACCUUCAAAAACUCAUUCAAGACCUCCUUGAUGCCCACCCUUUCAAAGGAUCACCCCUGUGCAACAUUGACCCCUCGUAAGAUGUUCAAUUACUCCACGAAGCUCUUUACUUGAAGAAAAACCAGCCCCCUAUAUCAACACCCUCUCUCUCUCCCCUUUGUUUAAGAUGCUUAGUCUCUUCACCCUAAUAGGUUGCACAUUGUAUCUCAAUCCCCACGAAUACAUUGAACUUAUGAAACUAUGCUUGCCAAAGGAGUCCCUCUUCUUCUUCUCCAGAAUCCUAACCACCUAGACUAGAAUCGCAUGUAAGGACAUAAAGUAAGUAGGGAGACUUGUUCAGUAUUCUUAAUGAGGGUUAACCUCCGCCCUUCAACUGAAAUUGCCAUCUCCGGUCCACUUUCACCAACUGAUUCUGUAAGUGCUCCACCACUCUAUCUCAUCCCGCUAGGUAUAUUAGGUAAGAGAAGGAACUCUACCCUGUAAAAUGGAUGUCAAGCAGUCUGUUGGUGAGGACUUUAACGAUGUGAGCAGGUUGCUCAAAUGUGAUUCAAAGUAUUAAAUCCUUCCAGAGCCCUUAUUUUGGCAUGAAUGGACAUAAGCUGCUGGAAAAUCUUCCAAAAACCCUGUUGUAGUGUUAAGGUAGCUAUAAAUAGUUUUUCAGUGUAUGGACAGUUGCAGAUGGUGUUGUUAGUUUUUUGUUUUAAGCAUGGGGUUGGAACCAUGGGGGAUCUCAGAAAUGUUUGUUUUGGUUUGUAUGCAACAUCAUAUAAUGUUCUCGCGUAGUUUAUCGGGUUUUAUAUCAUAUGGGCACGAUUCGUUUA